rnacentral:rRNA from 1 species
UAAUACGAAGGGGGCUAGCGUUGUUCGGAAUUACUGGGCGUAAAGCGCACGCAGGCGGUUUGUUAAGUCAGAUGUGAAAUCCCCGGGCUCAACCUGGGAACUGCAUUUGAAACUGGCAAGCUAGAGUCUCGUAGAGGGGGGGUAGAAUUCCAGGUGUAGCGGUGAAAUGCGUAGAGAUCUGGAGGAAUACCGGUGGCGAAGGCGGCCCCCUGGACGAAGACUGACGCUCAGGUGCGAAAGCGUGGGGAGCAAACAGGAUUAGAUACCCUGGUAGUCCACGCUGUAAACGAUGUCGAUUUAGAGGUUGUGCCCUUGAGGCGUGGCUUCCGGAGCUAACGCGUUAAAUCGACCGCCUGGGGAGUACGGCCGCAAGGUUA